rnacentral:rRNA from 1 species
AUGGUCCCGGCAAACGUCGAGUCCUUGAAGGCGGCACAGAGCCUGUCAGCAGAAUCCAUCUCUACAGUGGUAGGAAUUGCCCGGAAAACAUUGUUCUCGGGGCCUAUCGACUUGGAGGCGAUGAAGGCACAAGCGUGGGGAAGCCAUGCCCCAGCAACCGCGAACGUCGAGUCCCGCCAAGUCCAUGCAAGAGGGUACGGCGCAUCUGGUGGGCCACUCCCUGACCAUGAUGGUGGCGACCGUCGAGUCCGUACAGGAGCGCACGGUGACUCAGGUCAGCCAUACCCCAACAACCAAGUGUUCAGGUCCACCGGGUUGGCGGGAGAUGGCUCCCUGACAACGGUGUGUGCGUGCGGCUACAUCUUCCUCAAUGAGGAGAAAGCUAUGACCACACCCGCGCUUGUAGGAGACAAGCUCAGCGAGGGUUGGUUACUCAACACCGGCACCACGAACCACAUGACUGGUUCGGUCGACGCGUUCGCGGAGCUGGACCGCUCGAUCACCGGAAAGGUGCGGUUCGCGAAUGGCUCCGUGGUGGACAUCCACGGGCGCGGGACCGUCGUCUUCGCCAACAACGGGGCUAACCACAGGGCGUUCACGAACGUCUUCUUCAUCCCAGUGCUCAAGAGCAGCGUCGUGAGCGUCGGCCAGCUCGACGAGAGCCGAUACGACAUCAACAUCCAUCGCGGAGUGCUCUCCAUGCGAGACGAGGACGGGCGGUUGCUCAUCAAGGUAACCCAAGGAUCAAAUCGCCUGCACAAGUUCUUCUUUUGCCCCAUACAACCUAUGUGCCUCGUCGUGGGCCAUGUUUCCGACGCUUGGCGUUGGCAUGCUCGGCUCGGACACCAACACUUCGACGGGCUACAAAAGGUGGCUCGUGGUGGACUCGUGCGUGGGCUGUCGCACAUCAUGCACGCCAACGAGCUGUGUGAUGCAUGUUGA